GACGUAGGGCGCGAGCGUUGUCCGGAUUUAUUGGGCGUAAAGAGCUCGUAGGUGGUUCGGUAAGUCGGAUGUGAAAUCUCCAGGCUCAACCUGGAGGGGUCAUUCGAUACUGCCGUGACUAGAGGUCGGUAGGGGAGACUGGAAUUCCUGGUGUAGCGGUGAAAUGCGCAGAUAUCAGGAGGAACACCGGUGGCGAAGGCGGGUCUCUGGGCCGUAACUGACGCUGAGGAGCGAAAGCGUGGGGAGCGAACAGG
rnacentral:rRNA from 1 species